UACGGGGGGGGGGCAAGCGUUUGUUCGGAAUUACUGGGCGUAAAGGGCUCGUAGGCGGCCAACUAAGUCGGAUGUGAAAUCCCCAAGCUUAACUUGGGAACUGCAUCCGAUACUGGAUGGCUUGAAUCCGGGAGAGGGAUGCAGAAUUCCGAGUGUAGAGGUGAAAUUCGUAGAUAUUCGGAAGAACACCAGUGGCGAAGGCGGCUCACUGGGACUGGUAUUGACGCUGAGGUGCGAAAGCGUGGGGAGCAAACAGG
rnacentral:rRNA from 1 species